CAAGGUACACACUCUUAGCUUGUGCAAGGCCUGUGCUUUUCCCAGGUUCAGGUAAAAGCAAGCCUAUGCCUUUGCCUACUAUGGUAAAGUUGGGCUAACUGCCAUCUUGAUUGGCUCUUCUGUGUCCAAAGGGCAAUUAAUCUUGGCCCACAUUGAUAAAAGACAAUACUCAGGUGAACAACCUGCUUUGCUCCCCUGUUUUCUGCUGUGCUCGGCCGUUGCCUGCUGUAAUUACCUCUUGCCUUAUUGUUUGCUGCUAAACUCCACUGCCACGAGUUACCAGGAGCAGACCCUGGAUGCCUUCAUGUGAUCGGCCUGUGCGGGCAGUGUGACAUCAUGGUGAGACUGCACAACAUCCUGCCUCUGCACCUGAAAGUCCUGCUUAGAAGUCUUGGACAUACAGAUCAUCCAGAAGAGCCAGGAGAUAAGAGUGAAAAUCAGUGAAACCACACUCGUGUGUUAAGAUCACCACAUACAGCUAAAUGAAUUAUUAUUUAGGACGGGACUGCGCUUUUCAUAGCAAGGAUAAGAGGGAACCUUUGGUUACCCACAGGAAGAGGGAGGCAGAGUCCUCAGCAUCUUAAAAAGGGAAAUGGGGGGAGCAAACAUCCGGGAGAGGACACUUUC